rnacentral:rRNA from 1 species
UACGUAGGGGGCAAGCGUUGUCCGGAAUCAUUGGGCGUAAAGAGCGCGUAGGCGGUCCGGUAAGUCCGCUCUGAAAGUCCGGGGCUCAACCCCGGGAGGCGGGUGGAUACUGUCGAGCUAGAGUCCGGAAGAGGCGAGUGGAAUUCCUGGUGUAGCGGUGAAAUGCGCAGAUAUCAGGAGGAACACCAAUGGCGAAGGCAGCUCGCUGGGACGGUACUGACGCUGAGACGCGAAAGCGUGGGGAGCAAACAGG